rnacentral:misc_RNA from 1 species
CGCACAUUGCGCCCACCAGUACUCUGGUGGGCAUGCCUGUCCGAGCGUCAUUUCGACCCUCGAGCUCCCCUUUUGUGGUGGCUCGGUGCUGGGACACUACAGCGUUCGCGCGCUGUAGGUCCCGAAACACAGUGGCGGCCUCGCUGAGACCCCGAGCGCAGUAAACCGUGCUUUAGCACAGCGCCUCGUUCAGGGUGUCCGGCGGGUGCCCCGGCCGUAAAACCCCCCAAUUUACCAAAGGUUGACCUCGGAUCAGGUAGGAAUACCCGCUGAACUUAA